rnacentral:rRNA from 1 species
GAACGCUGGCGGCGUGCUUAACACAUGCAAGUCGAACGGAAAGGCCCUGCUUUUGUGGGGUGCUCGAGUGGCGAACGGGUGAGUAACACGUGAGUAACCUGCCCUUGACUUUGGGAUAACUUCAGGAAACUGGGGCUAAUACCGGAUAGGAGCUCCUGCUGCAUGGUGGGGGUUGGAAAGUUUCGGCGGUUGGGGAUGGACUCGCGGCUUAUCAGCUUGUUGGUGGGGUAGUGGCUUACCAAGGCUUUGACGGGUAGCCGGCCUGAGAGGGUGACCGGCCACAUUGGGACUGAGAUACGGCCCAGACUGCUAAGGGAGGCAGCAGUGGGGAAUAGUGCACAAUGGGCGGAAGCCUGAUGCAGCAACGCCGCGUGCGGGAUGACGGCCUUCGGGUUGUAAACCGAUUUCGCCUGUGACGAAGCGUGAGUGACGGUAAUGGGUAAAGAAGCACCGGCUAACUACGUG